rnacentral:sRNA from 1 species
UUACGACUGCGACGCUUCCAACCACCCGCCGUCCGCCAUGGAUAUGUUUGGCAAAGGCGUCGGUUUACCCGCCAACGCCCCUUCUGCGACCCCGUAUUGAUAAAUCAUCCCGGGAGCCGAUUGUACGCGGCACCAAACGAUGACAAACGCCUAAAUCUCCACUUGGCAGCGUUGCUGUAGCCGAGCAUCGACUGACCACGGUUCGUUGUGCGAGAAGGAAGUGAGGAAGGAAGACGACGAGGAGCAGGGACAUAGGAGGUUACAAUUUCCGACCAUGGCAAUAGCAAACUCAACGCAGGAAAUGUUUACCGGAUCUGAAACUCCGUUACCGGAUUCUAUACUCAUCGUUGGGGGCGGGGUGUUCGGAUUGUCCACCGCCCUCGCUCUCUCCGCUAGGCACUCCGGGAAAAUCACACUCAUUGACUCUUCGCCGACGAUCCCCAAUCCACAGGGCUCCUCCGUCGAUACCUCCCGCAUCGUGCGUGCAGACUAUGCCAAUGCGGCGUAUGUCGCGCUGGCAGAAUCGGCUCUUGAGAAAUGGCGUACGACAGCUUGGGGUCAUGAAGGCCGUUAUACGCAGACUGGCCUCGUUCUAGUAUCAUCCGGCGAUAAGUUUGGCAAAGGAUACGUGCAAGAGAGCUACGAGAAUGUCAAAGCUAUAAACCCUAAAAUGAUCGAGAAACUUCCCACGAGAGAGGAUGUUGAACGGGCGGCGCCAGGCUACGGAACUGGCCUGCACGUCUCGGGAGGUUAUGUGAACUGGGGAUCUGGAUGGGCCGAUGCAGAGGCGUCGGUGAGGUUUGCGAAAAAGAAUAUCGACGAGAUGGGGAAGGUGGAUUUUCGUACCGGGGAGGUCAAUCGAUUAUUAGUAUCAACACCACCACAUCCAGAUGAGGGCCAAAGAGGAGCCAAGGGAGCAACAACUGCCGCAUCAUCUGCACGAGCUAAGGUAACCGGCGUUGAACUGUCUGAUGGCACCACCAUCACAGCCGAUCUAGUCAUAUUAGCCACAGGUGCAUGGACAGGCCGUCUAGUUGACCUCCGCGGCAAAGCCGAAGCGACAGGCCAGGCCCUUGCCUACAUCCGCAUUUCCGAUGAAGAGCAAGCCAAGCUCGCAAACAUGCCUACGGUCCUAAACCUUUCGACGGGCAUGUUCAUCAUCCCGCCGCGUAACAACAUGCUCAAGAUCGCGAGACAUGCAUACGGCUACCGGAACCCGCAGCGCGUGCCGGCCCCCGUGUACGGCCCAGGCCGUGGCCAAACAGCAACGACGGUAGAGGUUAGUCUUCCUGUCGCUGACGUCCCGCUCCCGCAGGAAGGAGAGAGCGCAUGCAGGGCCGCGUUGAAAGAGAUGCUGCCGUCGUUUGCCGAUCGGCCAUUUGAAAAGACGCGCGUGUGCUGGUAUACAGAUACACCCAAAGGCGAUUUCAUAAUCACCCACCACCCCCACUACGCCGGUCUCUUCCUCGCAACCGGCGGCAGCGGCCACGCCUUCAAAUUCCUGCCCGUUCUCGGGGAGAAGAUCGUCGACGCCAUCCAAGGUCGUUUGGAUCCUGAAUUGCAAGAACUGUGGGGGUGGCCUGGAGUGGCUGGUGAUGAGGAUGCUGCUGCUGCUGUUGUGUGGACAGAAGACGGGAGCCGGUCUGGCGAGAAGGGUUUGAUUUUGAUGGAUGAGUUGGCGAAGGGGCAAGGG